AAUAGAUACCCGGGUAGUCCACGCCGUAAACGAUGAGUGCUAAGUGUUAGAGGGUUUCCGCCCUUUAGUGCUGCAGCUAACGCAUUAAGCACUCCGCCUGGGGAGUACGGUCGCAAGACUGAAACUCAAAGGAAUUGACGGGGGCCCGCACAAGCGGUGGAGCAUGUGGUUUAAUUCGAAGCAACGCGAAGAACCUUACCAGGUCUUGACAUCCUCUGACAACUCUAGAGAUAGAGCGUUCCCCUUCGGGGGACAGAGUGACAGGUGGUGCAUGGUUGUCGUCAGCUCGUGUCGUGAGAUGUUGGGUUAAGUCCCGCAACGAGCGCAACCCUUGAUCUUAGUUGCCAGCAUUUAGUUGGGCACUCUAAGGUGACUGCCGGUGACAAACCGGAGGAAGGUGAGGAUGACGUCAAAUCAUCAUGCCCCUUAUGACCUGGGCUACACACGUGCUACAAUGGAUGGUACAAAGGGCUGCAAGACCGCGAGGUCAAGCCAAUCCCAUAAAACCAUUCUCAAGUUCGGAUUGU
rnacentral:rRNA from 1 species